UAAUGAGGGAAGGAAAAGAAACUAACUAGGAUUUUCUUAGUAGCGGCGAGCGAAAAGAAAUCUAGUUCAGCACUGAGUUAUUUUGUUAUAAUAACAAAUAUAAGAUGCAGUGUAUGGAAUAUCUAUAAUCUAGUAAAACAUAUUAACAGCCCAAGUCCUUCUUAAACGAGGCCAUUUACCCAUAGAGGGUGCCAGGCCCGUAGUGACGUUAAUGAUUACUAGAAGAUAUUUCUUAAGAGUCGUGUUGCUUGAUAGUGCAGCACUAAUUGGGUGGUAAACUCCAUCUAAAACUAAAUAUAACCAUGAGACCGAUAGCAAACAAGUACCGUGAGGGAAAGUUGAAAAGAACUCUGAAUAGAGAGUUAAAUAGUACGUGAAACUGCUUAGAGGU
rnacentral:rRNA from 1 species